CAGGCUUAUCUACAGCAGUCUGGGGCUGAGCUGGUGAGGCCUGGGGCCUCAGUGAAGAUGUCCUGCAAGGCUUCUGGCUACACAUUUACCAGUUACAAUAUGCACUGGGUAAAGCAGACACCUAGACAGGGCCUGGAAUGGAUUGGAGCUAUUUAUCCAGGAAAUGGUGAUACUUCCUACAAUCAGAAGUUCAAGGGCAAGGCCACACUGACUGUAGACAAAUCCUCCAGCACAGCCUACAUGCAGCUCAGCAGCCUGACAUCUGAAGACUCUGCGGUCUAUUUCUGUGCAAGA